CAGUUCGGAUUGAGGCUGAAAUUCGCCUUCAUGAAGCCGGAAUUGCUAGUAAUGGCAGGUCAGCAUACUGCCGUGAAUACGUUCCUGGGCCUUGUACACACCGCCCGUCACACCAUGAGAGUUGGGAAUACCCGAAGCCUGUGAGCUAACUUUUAGAGGCAGCAGUCGAAGGUAGAAUCAAUGAUUGGGGUGAAGUCGUAACAAGGUAGC
rnacentral:rRNA from 1 species